rnacentral:rRNA from 1 species
AUGAACGCUGGCGGCGUGCCUAAUACAUGCAAGUCGAGCGAACAGACGAGGAGCUUGCUCCUCUGACGUUAGCGGCGGACGGGGGAGUAACACGUGGAUAACCUACCUAUAAGACUGGGAUAACUUCGGGAAACCGGAGCUAAUACCGGAUAAUAUAUUGAACCGCAUGGUUCAAUAGUGAAAGACGGUUUUGCUGUCACUUAUAGAUGGAUCCGCGCCGCAUUAGCUAGUUGGUAAGGUAACGGCUUACCAAGGCAACGAUGCGUAGCCGACCUGAGAGGGUGAUCGGCCACACUGGAACUGAGACACGGUCCAGACUCCUACGGGAGGCAGCAGUAGGGAAUCUUCCGCAAUGGGCGAAAGCUUGACGGAGCGACGCCGCGUGAGUGAUGAAGGUCUUCGGAUCGUAAAACUCUGUUAUUAGGGAAGAACAAAUGUGUAAGUAACUAUGCACGUCUUGACGGUACCUAAUCAGAAAGCCACGGCUAACUACGUG